UACGUAGGGUGCAAGCGUUAAUCGGAAUACUGGGCGUAAAGCGUGCGCAGGCGGUUUUGUAAGUUUGUCGUGAAAUCCCCGGGCUCAACCUGGGAAUUGCGAUGAAGACUGCAAGGCUAGAAUCUGGCAGAGGGGGGUAGAAUUCCACGUGUAGCAGUGAAAUGCGUAGAGAUGUGGAGGAACACCGAUGGCGAAGGCAGCCCCCUGGGUCAAGAUUGACGCUCAUGCAC
rnacentral:rRNA from 1 species